UGCCUAAAACCUCUGCGCUUCUUCUUCCAAUACACUAACUUCAACAUUCCGUUUAGGCGGUCAAAUAUGCAAAUGUGAUACUCUUCGCCUUUUGGAAACCCCUUUCGAAGCCAUUAAUCCUGCGCAUUGUGACACCAAACGUACG
ensembl:ncRNA T21B10.9 ncRNA